AACGCACAUUGCGCCCGGUGGUAAUCUGCCGGGCAUGCCUGUUCGAGCGUCAUUUCUACCCUCAGGCCCAGCCGCUUAGGCGGUUCGGGUGCUGGUGUUGGGGCAUGCAGGCCACUGCAGCCUCUAAAUUCAUCGGCGUACUGGCGUACGUUGCCCUUUGCGUAGUGGAUUUUUCUUUUCUCGCAUCGGGCCGUGCCUCGUCCGGCCGCUAACUUUUUUUACUUUUUUAGUUUGACCUCGAAUCAGGUAGGGUUACCCGCUGAACUUAA
rnacentral:misc_RNA from 1 species